UUUCCGUAGGUGAACCUGCGGAAGGAUCAUUACCGUGUCAUGGUCUCUCAGGCCCCACCUCCCUCUCUGUUUCUUUUUGACCUUGUUGCUUUGGCGGUUCCGCCUCCAUGAGAGUCCGCCUUAAGCUCACCGCUUUGGUCCCUUCCCCCCCCGUAGCCCCCUUAAAUUCUUAAUCAACCUGUUGUCCGGGUCUAUAUAUUAUAAAAAAAACUUUCAACAACGUUUAUCUUGGUUCUGGCAUCUAUUAAGUACGCAGCAGCACUGCAGAUCACACUUCUU
rnacentral:misc_RNA from 1 species